AACGAACGCUGGCGGCAUGCCUAACACAUGCAAGUCGAACGAUACCUGCGGGUCUAGGGGCGAACGGGUUCGUAACGCAUGGGAACCGUCCCUUAGGGUGGGAAUAACUCCCCGAAAGGGGUGCUAAUACCGGAUAAAGGCUACGGACCAAAGAUUUAUCAACUUUGUAUGGGCCCGCGUGGGAUAAGCUAGUUGGUAGGGUAAAAGCCUCCCAAGGCGACGAUCCAUAGCUGGUGUGAGAGGAGGAUCAGCCACACUGGGACUGAGACACGGCCCAGACGCCUACGGGAGGCAGCAGUGGGGACUAUUGGACGCUGCGCGAAAGCCUGAUCCUGCAAUGCCGUGUGACUGAUGAAGGCCUUAGGGUUGUAAAGCUCUUUUAACCGGGAUGAUAAUGACAGUACCUGGAGAAUAAGCUCCGGCUAACUCCGUG
rnacentral:rRNA from 1 species